CCAGCUUUGAGUAUGGCUUCUGGACUUGGCCCAUAGAGGGUGAAAGGCCCGUUCGAAUGGAGGAUAAGAUAAGUGAGCAGUUCACCAUGUCGGUCUUCGAGUCGGGUUGUUUGAGAAUGCAGCCCAAAGCGGGUGGUAAACUCCAUCCAAGGCUAAAUACUAGCACGAGUCCGAUAGCGAACAAGUACCGUGAGGGAAAGUUGAAAAGUACUUUGAAGAGAGAGUAAACAGUACGUGAAACCGCAUAGAGGUAAACGGGUGGCGUCAAGCUGCAAGCCUAGAGGAUUCAGUCGGUCAGGAUUUUAUUUAUGCGCCUGGCGCAUUUAUCAGUCAGAGUAAGAUAUGGUAGUCCACUGGGCAACAGUGGGCCUGGCCGUAAGGUCGGGAUUUGCGUUCCGUUUUUGUGUCGCGGAGCUUGCUACCUAUCUAGGGACUGUCUGGCCGAUGCACUUUCUCUAUGGUGAACACCACGACCGGUGGUACUGCCAGUCUGCUGUAACCAAGUCGGGGUCGGUCGGCAUCUGAUGUCGGUUGGUCUUCGAUCAUAGGCAAAUUCAGUGGACGGUGUUCGGGUGUUUACGCAUUCGUUCAUGUUAUCGGACACUGGUUGUCAACGGGUCUGUCUGUCGACGAUUGUAGUAGUUGGCGGAUGGCCUGGUGGGUUAUGGUGGUAAGAAUAACUGUGCAGGGCACUGGUGAUUGCGGUCUCUAAUUUGGCUCGCACGCACACUGCAAGUGGGUGGGGCGUCGUUGCAGUCUGCCUAUGAUUGGGUUCGAUUGUCGUGUUGCCUACGCAAAGUGGGUCCGGCAGUAGCCUGAUUUUGGAUGGAAUUGUUUACGGCGUCCCUUGUGUGAGUCGAU
rnacentral:rRNA from 1 species